rnacentral:rRNA from 1 species
UACGUAGGGCGCAAGCGUUGUCCGGAAUUAUUGGGCGUAAAGAGCUCGUAGGCGGCUUGUCACGUCGGGUGUGAAAGCCCGGGGCUUAACCCCGGGUCUGCAUUCGAUACGGGCAGGCUAGAGUGCGGUAGGGGAGACUGGAAUUCCUGGUGUAGCGGUGAAAUGCGCAGAUAUCAGGAGGAACACCAGCGGCGAAGGCGGCGCUCUGGGCCGGAACUGACGCUGAGGAGCGAAAGCGUGGGUAGCAAACAGG